UUUACCUACGGGGCGCAGCAGUAGGGAAUCUUCCACAAUGGGCGAGAGCCUGAUGGAGCAACGCCGCGUGUGUGAUGAAGGCUUUAGGGUCGUAAAGCACUGUUGUAUGGGAAGAAAUGCUAGAAUAGGGAAUGAUUCUAGUUCGACGGUACCAUACCAGAAAGGGACGGCUAAAUACGUGCCAGCAGCCGCGGUAAUACGUAUGUCCCGAGCGUUAUCCGGAUUUAUUGGGCGUAAAGCGAGCGCAGACGGUUGAUUAAGUCUGAUGUGAAAGCCCGGAGCUCAACUCCGGAAUGGCAUUGGAA
rnacentral:rRNA from 1 species